CAAAAGCCCCGCGUUAGGGAUUGCAGCGGAUACCGGCCCGUGGCUAAUGCCUGUGCAGUAUGAGCGGAAAGCCCGCCCGUUA
rnacentral:misc_RNA from 1 species